GCGCUGUAGCCAAGUGGUAAGGCAUAGGUCUGCAACACCUUGAUCACCGGUUCAAAUCCGGUCGGCG
rnacentral:tRNA from 1 species